rnacentral:misc_RNA from 1 species
UUGAAUUUUAAUGAAGAGUUUGGUUGUAGCUGGCCCAUUCAUUUGGGCAUGUGCACACCUUCCUCUUUCAUCCCACACACACCUGUGAACCUGUGAGACAGAGAUGGGGAAUUUACUUGCUGCUUUUUGGAAUACAAAGGCAAUAGGUUAUUGGACCCCCCCUCUGUCUACUCAAUUAAUAUAAACUCAAUUUAUUUUAAAACGAAUGUAAUGGACGUAACACAUCUCAUAC